rnacentral:rRNA from 1 species
AUACAGAGGUUGCGAGCGUUAAUCGGAAUUACUGGGCGUAAAGCGCGCGUAGGCGGCUUAUUAAGUCAGAUGUGAAAUCCCCGGGCUCAACCUGGGUACUGCAUCUGAUACUGGUAAGCUAGAGUUUUGGAGAGGGAAGUAGAAUUUCAGGUGUAGCGGUGAAAUGCAUAGAGAUCUGAAGGAAUACCAGUGGCGAAGGCGACUUCCUGGCCAAAAACUGACGCUGAGGUGCGAAAGCGUGGGGAGCAAACAGGAUUAGAAACCCUAGUAGUCC